UCCUACGGGGGGCAGCAGUGAGGAAUCUUUGUCCCUUGUCUCGAGCCUGACCUAGCCAAGUCGCGUGAGGGAAGACGGUCCUAUGGAUUGUAAACCUCUUUUGUCGGGGAGCAAAAGACGCCACGCGUGGCGUUCCGAGAGUACCCGAAGAAAAAGCAUCGGCUAACUCCGUGCCAGCAGCCGCGGUAAUACGGAGGAUGCGAGCGUUAUCCGGAUUUAUUGGGUUUAAAGGGUGCGCAGGCGGAAGAUCAAGUCAGCGGUAAAAUUGAGAGGCGCAACCUCUUCGAGCCGUUGAAACUGGUUUU
rnacentral:rRNA from 1 species